rnacentral:rRNA from 1 species
GUUGUAUAGUCAAGUAAUGAAGUGCACAUGGUGGAUGCCUUGGCAGUCAGAGGCGAUGAAAGACGUGACAGCCUGCGAAAAGCGUCGGGGAGGCGGCAAUAUCCUGUGAUCCGGCGAUAUCUGAAUGGGGAAACCCACCUACCAUAAGGUAGGUACCCCGCUAUAUUUUAUAGCGGGGGGCAAACCGGGAGAAGUGAAACAUCUCAGUAACCCGAGGAAAAGACAUCAAUAGAGAUUCCCCUAGUAGCGGCGAGCGAACGGGGAGGAGCCGACAGACUUUAACAUAGAGGAACAACUUGGAAAGGUUGAUCGUAGAGGGUGAUAAUCCCGUACUCGAAA